GCCCGGAUGGUGUAGCGGUAACAUAAGGGACUGUGGAUCCCUUGUCUCGGGUUCAAAUCCCGAUCCGGGCC
rnacentral:tRNA from 1 species